rnacentral:tRNA from 1 species
UUUUCUUUUUUUAGAA